rnacentral:rRNA from 1 species
UCGAGGAUCUUCGGCAAUGGGCGAAAGCCUGACCGAGCGACGCCGCGUGUGGGAUGAAGGCCCUUGGGUCGUAAACCACUGUCAGAGGGGAUGAAGUGCCAGAGAGCUAUCUCUUUGGUUUGACAUAGCCUCAGAGGAAGCACGGGCUAAGUUCGUGCCAGCAGCCGCGGUAAUACGAACUGUGCAAACGUUAUUCGGAAUCACUGGGCUUAAAGGGUGCGUAGGCGGCUAUCUAAGCAGGGUGUGAAAGCCCCCGGCUCAACCGGGGAAUUGCGUUCUGAACUGGAUGGCUGGAGUGAGAUAGGGGUGUGUGGAACUUCCAGUGGAGCGGUGAAAUGUGUUGAUAUCGGAAGGAACGCCGGUGGCGAAAGCGACACACUGGGUCUCAACUGACGCUGAGGCACGAAAGCCAGGGGAGCGAACGGGAUUAGAUACCCCCGUAGUCC